UCUUUGUUCCUUAGACUUAGAUC
rnacentral:snRNA from 1 species